GCGUUCUUCGUGAUCUUGAUGUUGUCGUAACAUUUCUCCCUCUUGGCUGGCACACCGUAGACGUGCCGAAACUUGCUGCUUCGAACGCCACGGAACCAUGACUGCGAACAUAAUAUAAGUCCAUUGGAAUAACAUUGUGAAAAUUUAUCGUAAUCUCAUGCCAAAAAAAAAACCCAUAAAAAACGGAAUGCACAUGAUGUAUAUGCUGGCGACGAUUUCGAAGAAAAAAAAUUAAAGAGAAAUAUACCAUUCAUGUGUACGAUCUUCGGGAGAACUCUCUCUUAUUCAGAAACCGUGAAAAGGAAAGCUACUGGAAUCAUGAACAAAAAUAUAGGUAUUUUGUUAUCGGUUGAUAAUUGCAGAUUUUUCAGCGAAUGUUUUCAAAAGGAUAGAGCUUGCGAGGAAUCGACGCGGAAAGAAUAAUGCGCAAUAAGGUGUAAAAAUAACGAUCGGGAGAUUGCACAGAACGUCAAGUUACACCUAUAACGCGCUUCCCAUGCGCUCGUAUUCCUCGCGUGAAAUCAUGCACGAUAAUUAAACCACGCCGGCGAGCAAAACGCUACAUGAUGUUACAAUAAUUGCGAUAUCUUCUUCGUUCCGUUUAUUUUGUAUGCGAAUUUAAAAGCAGAAUACUCGAGCAAGUAUUAUAUUUUUCCUUUCAAACAAAGAUUCUAUUUUUAAACAAUAGUAAGUGAAACUAGAUAAUCACGACUAAUAUAAUUAUGUAGAAAAGAGCCUUAUUUCAUCGGAGUUGGAUAUUAGUGUCUAAUGUUUCUGCGUAAAAUUAUAUAAAUUUUCCAGUUCUGUGAAUACUGUGCGCAGAUUACUUUUCAAUCUUGAAACGCAGUUUUAACCAAUGUUAAAAUAGCAAUAACACAAAUAGAAUUAAUUUGAUAUUCAAUUUAAUAAUACUGAUACUAAAAAACAUCUAAGAUCCAGUUUUAAUCAAAUAAGACUCUUUCCUACUUAUUUGUAUUAUUUUAUUUUUUAACUCAUAUAUAUAUAUAUAUAUACAUUUUUUUUUAUCUCGAAACAAUUGUGCCAUAGGAGAAACAACGAUGAGUCACACGCGGUUGUGGCUAAUUGACGUUGCGCGAAUGUGAAAUCUCUUGAAUUUGUGUGAAUCGACAUAAUUUUACUGGCGCGUGCAGUGUAGCGCGGUGAGUUAAAUCGAAUUAUGCGACUUUUUCCCAUAAAAAAAAAAGAUCGAAUCAAGCAGACUGCGUAAGAAUCGCGGCGAAAAGAUCGACACCGAAAUUCUUUGCUCGGAAAUGGAGACGUGCAAAAUCUUCCGGAUCUAUGCGAGCCCAUUUUUCAUCCGUGGACUUUUUUUAUGAUGCUAAUUUGGAAUAAAAAUUCAUAAAAAAAAUCGAAUCGAAAUUGAUCGAAGAAAAUGUAGGCGGAAGACUGCUUGGUAGAUCUGGGACACCCCGUGUGUUAAAAGUGCAUGGUAUCGUAAUCAAAAUCAAUAACCGGUACAUUAUGUAAUAACGUUGUGGUUUACUCGUUACUACGUAGGUAAUGCAAUAAGGAUGCGGUAUGUUACAUCCUCAUAUUUUCUACGCAUGAACUGUGUUACGAAGGGAAAGACGUACAUGAAAUUUUGACAUGUAAAUUAAAGAAAAAAAAAAAGGAUAGAUUUUAACGAAAUUUCGGUCAAAUUUCAUAGCCACUUAAAAAAUUAGACAAUCCACUUAACGUGCAUAAAAAAGCAUAAUCCUGGUGGAGUUUGGGAUCAACUUUUAACUGGAGUAGGUUCCCUAUAAGCGCUACAAUAUUAUUUAAUAUUAAUAAAAAGUCAUCCGAUAUUAUAAGAAUAUUAUAUGAGAAAUAAAUAACGUUAUUUACUUGAAUAGUUUAAAUUUAAAUU